GACGAACGCUGGCGGCGUGCUUAACACGUGCAAGUCGAACGGAAAGGCCCUGCUUUUGUGGGGUGCUCGAGUGGCGAACGGGUGAGUAACACGUGAGUAACCUGCCCUUGACUUUGGGAUAACUUCAGGAAACUGGGGCUAAUACCGGAUAGGAGCUCCUGCUGCAUGGUGGGGGUUGGAAAGUUUCGGCGGUUGGGGAUGGACUCGCGGCUUAUCAGCUUGUUGGUGGGGUAGUGGCUUACCAAGGCUUUGACGGGUAGCCGGCCUGAGAGGGUGACCGGCCACAUUGGGACUGAGAUACGGCCCAGACUCCUACGGGAGGCAGCAGUGGGGAAUAUUGCACAAUGGGCGGAAGCCUGAUGCAGCAACGCCGCGUGGGGGAUGACGGCCUUCGGGUUGUAAACCGCUUUCGCCUGUGACGAAGCGUGAGUGACGGUAAUGGGUAAAGAAGCACCGGCUAACUACGUGCCAGCAGCCGCGGUGAUACGUAGGGUGCGAGCGUUGUCCGGAUUUAUUGGGCGUAAAGGGCUCGUAGGUGGUUGAUCGCGUCGGAAGUGUAAUCUUGGGGCUUAACCCUGAGCGUGCUUUCGAUACGGGUUGACUUGAGGAAGGUAGGGGAGAAUGGAAUUCCUGGUGGAGCGGUGGAAUGCGCAGAUAUCAGGAGGAACACCAGUGGCGAAGGCGGUUCUCUGGGCCUUUCCUGACGCUGAGGAGCGAAAGCGUGGGGAGCGAACAGGCUUAGAUACCCUGGUAGUCCACGCUGUAAACGGUGGGUACUAGGUGUGGGGUCCAUUCCACGGGUUCCGUGCCGUAGCUAACGCUUUAAGUACCCCGCCUGGGGAGUACGGCCGCAAGGCUAAAACUCAAAGGAAUUGACGGGGCCCCGCACAAGCGGCGGAGCAUGCGGAUUAAUUCGAUGCAACGCGUAGAACCUUACCUGGGUUUGACAUGGAUCGGGAGCGCUCAGAGAUGGGUGUGCCUCUUUUGGGGUCGGUUCACAGGUGGUGCAUGGCUGUCGUCAGCUCGUGUCGUGAGAUGUUGGGUUAAGUCCCGCAACGAGCGCAACCCUUGUUCACUGUUGCCAGCACGUUAUGGUGGGGACUCAGUGGAGACCGCCGGGGUCAACUCGGAGGAAGGUGGGGAUGACGUCAAGUCAUCAUGCCCCUUAUGUCCAGGGCUUCACGCAUGCUACAAUGGCUGGUACAGAGAGUGGCGAGCCUGUGAGGGUGAGCGAAUCUCGGAAAGCCGGUCUCAGUUCGGAUUGGGGUCUGCAACUCGACCUCAUGAAGUCGGAGUCGCUAGUAAUCGCAGAUCAGCAACGCUGCGGUGAAUACGUUCCCGGGGCU
rnacentral:rRNA from 1 species